GUUGUUAGGUAGCUCCCUGGUGAUCGCUCCCAGGUUGUUGGGCAACUUCCUGGCGCACAUGUAUAGCCACAAUCGGGGCUGUUCCGAUCUAAUUAACACGAACGCUCCGCACAGCGUGAGUGCGAGAGUUUCCAUCCAAUAGAGAAAACUCACAUGGUAUCAGAGCGUUGAUCCAAUCUACCGAAAAAUCAAUCCCUUCCACCUUUCCCUGCCAUGGCGUCUUCCUCUAGUAAUACCGGCAAUUCCUUCCUAGGCCACCCCGUGAGUGAGAAACUUGGGAAGAACAACUACGCGUUAUGGAGAGUUUAGAUCAGCGCUGCAGUUCGUGGUGCUCGCCUCCAAGGGCACCUGACAGGCGCGACGAAGAAACCUCAAGCGCAGAUCGUCGUCACAAGCAGCGACGGCAAGACAACAGAGAAGAAAAACAAUCCGGAGUUUGAUGAUUGGGAGGCCUCGGAUCAACAGGUCCUUGGCUACCUCCUGUCGUCUCUCUCACGAGAUGUUCUCAUGCAAGUCGCGACGUGUGAAACUGCGGCAGAAGCAUGGACAAUCAUCGAGCAAAUGUUCUCGACGCAAACGAGGGCGCGUUGCAUCAACACAAGAUUCGCGCUCUCCAACACCAAGAAAGGCAAUCUCUCGCUCCCGGAGUUCUUCGGGAAGAUGAGAGCUCUAGGAGAUGAGAUGGCCACCGCAUCCGGCAAGCGGUUGACGAUGAGGAACUAAUCCAGUACAUCAUCACUGGGUUGGGCGAAGACUAAAGCGAAGUGAUCUCCGCCGUGUGCGCACGGCUAGAACCCAUGACGGUGGGUGACCUCUACAAUCAAGUCCUCAAUUUUGAGGCCCGCAGGUCUCUCUAUCGGGGGACUCAAGAAAACACCGUCAACGUCGCCAACAAAGGAGGUGGCCGCGGCAGCUUUCCUGGCCGCGGCGGAGGAGCUCCACGCGGCGGUCGUGCCUUUCCUAGCCGCGGCACAAGCAAUGGAGCGCGCGGUCGAGGACGCGCGCAAAGUGGGGCGGAUCGCAGACCGAUCUGUCAAGUUUGCUUCAAGAGGGGACACACCGCCGUAGAUUGCUGGUACAGGAGAACUGGAGAAACUCACUGUGAAUGACAAGUAUAAUGGGGGAGAACAGAUCCACACCGCCAGCGAAGCAGGUAUGGAUCUAAGUCAUAUUGGCAAUACUAUUGUUCAUACCCCUAGUAAUCGUGAUAUCCAUCUUAAAAAUGUUCUAUAUGUUCCACAAGCCAAAAGGAAUCUUAUAUCUGUACACCGUUUAGUUGAUGAUAAUUCUGCUUUUCUUGAACUUCACCGUGAUUAUUUCUUUCUUAAGGAUCUGGCAACCAAGAGAACUCUUCUUAAAGGAACAUCACACCGCAGGCUUUAUCCCCUUCCCAGGUCAUCCUUGAAGCAAGCCUGCAGUGCCACUAAGUUGUCCUUGACUCGAUAGCAUAGUCGUCUUGGGCAUCCCUCCUCCUCAGUCGUUAGACAAGUGGUCAAUAAGAAUAAUCUCCCAUGUUUAGAUUCUAUUAAUGAGUCAGUUUGUAAUGCUUGCCAACAAGCUAAGAGUCAUCAGUUACCUUUUCCUGUUUCAUCAAGUGUCUCUCAUUAUCCUUUGGAACUUAUUUUUUCUGAUGUUUAGGGCCCAGCUCCAGAGUCUGUAGGACGAAAGAAGUACUAUGUCAGUUUUAUUGAUGAUUUUAGCAAGUUUACUUAGAUUUAUCUCUUGCAAAAUAAAUCCCAAGUUUUUGAGAAAUUUAAAGAGUUCCAAGUUAUGGUAGAGCGCUUGUUUGAUAGAAAAAUUUUAGCCAUGCAAACUGACUGGGGAGGGGAGUACCAAGCUUUAAAUAAUUUCUUCUCCAAAAUUGGCAUUGUUCAUCAUGUGUCUUGCCCUCACACUCACCAACAAAAUGGGUCUGCUGAGCGCAAAUAUAGACAUAUUGUAGAAGUUGGUCUCUCCUUAUUAUCUCAUGCCACAAUGCCAUUAAAAUUUUGGGAUGAAGCCUUUCAAGCAGCAACCUAUUUGAUUAAUAGGGUUCCUAGCAGAGUUAUACAAAAUAUCAGUCCUUUGGAAAAAUUAUUCCAACAAAAACCUGAUUAUUCCUCUUUGCGUAUUUUUGGGUGUGCUUGUUGGCCCAAUUUACGUCCCUAUAAUAAGCACAAGUUGGAAUUCAUGUCUAAACGGUGUGUUUUCCUUGGUUUUAGCAAUAUGCACAAAGGAUUCAAAUGCCUAUAAAUUUCUUUAGGUCGGAUCUAUAUUUCUCGGGAUGUUGUUUUUGAUGAAACGGUAUUCCCUUUCUCUGAGCUUCAUGCAAAUGCAGGCGCUCGGCUUCGGUCUGAAAUACUCUUGUUUCCGUCUUUGUUUACUAGUGGGGAUGACAAUGUAUUACACCAUUUGACUAAUCCUAUAAAUCCUGCUGCUAAUGAGUUUGCUGAUGCAAAUAUUGAGAUUGAUACAGCACAUUCCGUGGCCACAGAAGAUCCCGCAGGGAUUGAUUUUGAUGCAGAUUCGGCAGAACAGGAGCCUGACACCUUCCUGUCGCCAGGGUCUGUUCACACGCAUUCGCCUGGACCUCACCAUUCAGGCGCUGACACGCGGCAGCAUCAGGAGACACAUGCUGGCGACAGAAUUAUUCUUCCAGGAACAGCUCGUCAGGAGGCACAGGGGGAGCAGCGGUCAUCUCCCUCCGCCGAUCUGUCCUCUGCUGAUCCAUCAUCAUCGCUGUCAGGAGAUAACACAGGAACAGGAGCUUGCACCGCAAGUCCGACCCAGAACAAGAUUACAAAGCGGCAUUUGGAAGGAGAAGAUAUAUACUGAUGGUACAGUUAAAGUACUCUUGUUUUACCAAUUCUGGAGAACCUAGUAAUCUAGUAAUGAUAUAGAGGCUCUUAAAGAUAAAAAUUGGAAAAAUGCUAUGGAAUCUGAAUAUGAUGCCUUAAUCAGAAAUAAUACCUGGCACUUAGUCCCACCUCAGAGAGGGAAGAAUGUCAUAGGAUGUAAGUGGGUCUAUAAAAUUAAAAGGAAAGCUGAUGGUUCUUUAGGUAUGUAAUAGAUUAUGAGGAUACUUUCAGUCUAGUGGUCAAGGCUGCUACAAUUAGAAUCAUUUUAUCUAUAGCUGUGUCUAGAGGUUGGAGCCUUAGACAGUUAGAUGUGCAAAAUGCUUUUCUUCAUGGUCAUCUAGAAGAAGAAGUUUAUAUGGACCAACCACCAGGAUUUGAGGAUGUCACUAAGCCACACUAUAUAUGCAAACUAGAUAAGUCCUUAUAUGGUUUGAAACAAGCUCCAAGAGCUUGGUUUGCCAGAUUAAGCAACAAACUGAUUGAUCUUGGGUUUAGUGCCUCAAAAGCUGACACAUCAUUAUUCUUUCUGCAUAAAGGAGAUAUUGCUAUUUUUAUCUUGGUAUAUGUAGAUGAUAUAAUUGUAGUAAGUUCCUCAGAGAGGGCAACAACAGCAUUGUUACAGGAUCUGAAGGUAGAAUUUGCUCUAAAAGAUCUUGGUGAGUUACACUAUUUUCUUGGCAUUGAGGUAAACAAGACACACAAUGGCAUUGUUCUUACUCAGGAUAAGUAUGCUACUGAUUUACUAAAGAAGGUAGGGAUGUUGAAUUGUAAACCUGCUACCACUCCUUUAUCUGUUAGUGAGAAGUUGUCUUUACAUGAGGGAUCUCUCUUAGGACCUAAUGAUGCAACACAGUAUAUAAGUAUAGUUGGUGCAUUACAGUAUUUAACUCUCACUAGGCCAGAUAUAGCUUUCUCUGUUAAUAAGGUGUGUUAGUUCCUUCAUGCUCCUACAACAGUGCAUUGGACAGCAGUAAAAAGAAUAUUGAGAUAUAUAAAACAGUGUACUAGUAUGGGGCUUAAUAUAGACAGGUCUGGGUCCACACUUGUGAGUGGAUUCUCAGAUGCAGAUUGGGCUGGCAGUGUAGAUGACAGAAAGUCCACUGGAGGUUUUGCUGUGUUCAUAGGCUCAAAUCUAGUGUCAUGGAAUGCUAGAAAACAAGCCACUGUCUCAAGGUCAAGUACAGAGUCAGAGUACAAAGCCAUAGCAAAUGCAACAGCAGAAAUAAUGUGGGUACAAACCUUAUUAGCAGAGUUGGGGAUCAAGAGUCCUCGAGCAGCAAAGAUUUGAUGUGAUAAUCUUGGAGCCAAAUACUUGUCAGCAAAUUCAGUUUUUCAUGCUAGAACAAAGCAUAUAGAGGUUGAUUAUCACUUUGUCAGAGAACGGGUGAGUCAGAAAUUACUAGAAAUUGAUUUUGUUUCUUCAGGUGAUCAAGUUGCAGAUGGGUUUACUAAACCGUUGUCAGUUCGACUACUGGAGAAUUUUAAAAGCAAUCUUAACCUUAAACGGUUAUGAUUGAGAGAGGGUGUUACACUACUUCUGAAGUCUAUCCUAUCCUCCACGUCAAUCACAUGCAACCACGUGCGAUCAUGAUCUGCAGGGGAAACUAUUCUAAUCCCUCGAGGGGAUGUUCCCUCGUUUGUUUAAAAACCAUCCAAACGGUUAUGAAAAAUUCUGGAAAAAUUUGACAACAUUCAUACAACACAUAUAUACAACUCUAUAAAAUCUUAAGUUCAAAUUCAACUCACACGUCGAGAUAUAAAAAAGACAAAUUCAGCAUAUGAAUAGUAGCGUACUGUUUAUAUCUAAAUUUGUCGUUUUUGUUUCUAGAUGUGUAGAUCGAGUUUGAACAUGAAUUUUGGUGGACUAGUAGGUAUCAUUAUACUCUACAUUAUUAAUUUUUUUCAGAUUUUUUUACAACUAUUUGUAUUGAAUUUGGAAGAAAAAUGUAUACGAGAGGAUAUCCCCUCGAGGGAUCAGAAUCCACUCCCUGAUCUGCAGUUAGAGAUAGAGUUCCUAUUAUCUAGUUAAUCUUGUUUUGCAUGCGAUGUAAUCUCUUCCAGGUUGUUAGGCAGCUCCCUGGUGAUCGCUCCCAGGUUGUUGGGCAACUUCCUGGCGCACAUGUAAAGCCACGAUCGGGGCUGUUCCGAUCUAAUUAACGCGAACGCUCCGCACAGCGUGAGUGCGAGAG